rnacentral:rRNA from 1 species
AACGAACGCUGGUAGCGUGGAUUAGGCAUGCAAGUCGAACGCAGGAAGCUGACGGAACUCUUCGGAGGGAAGGCAGUGGAAUGAGCGGCGGACGGGUGAGUAACACGUAAGGAACCUGCCUCAAGGAUUGGGAUAACUCCGAGAAAUCGGAGCUAAUACCGGAUAGUUCAACGGACCGCAUGGUCCGCUGAUGAAAGGCGCUCCGGCGUCACCUUGAGAUGGCCUUGCGGUGCAUUAGCUAGUUGGUGGGGUAAUGGCCCACCAAGGCGACGAUGCAUAGCCGACCUGAGAGGGCGAUCGGCCACACUGGGACUGAGACACGGCCCAGACUCCUACGGGAGGCAGCAGUAGGGAAUCUUCCACAAUGGACGAAAGUCUGAUGGAGCAACGCCGCGUGAGUGAUGAAGGUUUUCGGAUCGUAAAACUCUGUUGUAAGGGAAGAACACGUACGAGAGGGAAUGCUCGUACCUUGACGGUACCUUACGAGAAAGCCACGGCUAACUACGUGCCAGCCGCCGCCGUAA